rnacentral:misc_RNA from 1 species
UCGUAUAACUGAGGUACGAGGGCUGUCGCUGACCCCGGUCGUGCACGCCCUUGACGGUCAUCCUCACACAAUCUAAUCCAUCUCACCUUUUGUGCAUCACCGCGUGGGCCUCGAAAGGGGCCUGUGCCUUUUUAUACACGAACACCCCUUAGUGUAGAAUGUCUUUGCCUUUGUAUGCAAUCAAUA